rnacentral:rRNA from 1 species
GUCCACGCCGUAAACGAUGAUCACUCGCUGUUAGCGAUACACAGUUAGCGGCUAAGCAAAAGCAUUAAGUGAUCCACCUGGGGAGUACGGCCGCAAGGCUGAAACUCAAAAGGAAUUGACGGGGGCCCGCACAAGCGGAGGAACAUGUGGUUUAAUUCGAUGAUACGCGAGGAACCUUACCUGGGCUUAAAUGUUGAGUGCAUGAGGUAGAAAUACUUCUUCCCUUCGGGGCUCUCAGCAAGGUGCUGCAUGGUUGUCGU